ensembl:snRNA U6 U6 spliceosomal RNA
GUGCUUGCUUUGGCAGCACAUAUACUAAAAUCAGAAUGAUACAGAUAAGAUUUUCAUGGCCCCUGCGCAAGGAUGACACGCAAAUUCGUGAAGCAUCCCAUAUGUUU